GGUUGUAGACCUUUAAGUUUUGCUGCUUUUGAUAGCUAGGUAUCAGGUCAUACAAGUGGGGUUAUAAUAUUUAUUCUUCGUACCAGGGUAAUCAUGCUAGUUCAUCCAUACCUCCUUUGAUAUUAAGGUUGUAGAGGAUGUUUAUUAUGUAAAGAUUUUGUCUAUGUAUUUAAGGAUUGCCCUCAACUUAUAUAUGGAUCUACCAAGCA
rnacentral:lncRNA from 1 species